GACGAACGCUGGCGGCGUGCUUAACACAUGCAAGUCGAACGCUGAAGCUCAGCUUUUGUUGGGUGGAUGAGUGGCGAACGGGUGAGUAACACGUGAGUAACCUGCCCCCUUCUUUGGGAUAACGCCCGGAAACGGGUGCUAAUACUGGAUAUUCACUGGUCUUCGCAUGGGGGUUGGUGGAAAGGGUUUUUCUGGUGGGGGAUGGGCUCGCGGCCUAUCAGCUUGUUGGUGGGGUGAUGGCCUACCAAGGCUUUGACGGGUAGCCGGCCUGAGAGGGUGAACGGUCACAUUGGGACUGAGAUACGGCCCAGACUCCUACGGGAGGCAGCAGUGGGGAAAAUUGCACAAUGGGCGCAAGCCUGAUGCAGCGACGCUGCGUGAGGGAUGGAGGCCUUCGGGUUGUGAACCUCUUUCGCUAAUGGUCAAGCCGCAACAAUGGUUGUGGUGAGGGUAGUGGGUAAAGAAGCGCCGGCUAACUACGUG
rnacentral:rRNA from 1 species